GUCUACAGCCCUACUAUCCUGAGCGCGCCUGAUCUCGGAAGCUAAGCAGGAUCAAGGCCUGGUUAGUACUUGGAUGGGAGACCCCUUGGGAAUACCAGGUGCUGUCGGCU
rnacentral:rRNA from 1 species